rnacentral:tRNA from 2 species
GAGGAAAAUCCGUCGACUUUAGAAAUCGUGAGGGUUCAAGUCCCUCUA